rnacentral:pre_miRNA from 1 species
AGGAGUUUUUUUUUCAAUGACACGUUUUCUCCCGGGUUGCUCAAGGAAAUAAACGCAACCGGGAAUUUCGUGUCAGCCAAGAAUGACUCCC